rnacentral:rRNA from 1 species
UGUGUGUUAGUGGAAGCGUCUGGAAAGGCGCGCGAUACAGGGUGACAGCCCCGUACACAAAAAUGCACAUGCUGUGAGCUCGAUGAGUAGGGCGGGACACGUGGUAUCCUGUCUGAAUAUGGGGGGACCAUCCUCCAAGGCUAAAUACUCCUGACUGACCGAUAGUGAACCAGUACCGUGAGGGAAAGGCGAAAAGAACCCCGGCGAGGGGAGUGAAAAAGAACCUGAAACCGUGUACGUACAAGCAGUGGGAGCACGCUUAGGCGUGUGACUGCGUACCUUUUGUAUAAUGGGUCAGCGACUUAUAUUCUGUAGCAAGGUUAACCGAAUAGGGGAGCCGAAGGGAAACCGAGUCUUAACUGGGCGUUAAGUUGCAGGGUAUAGACCCGAAACCCGGUGAUCUAGCCAUGGGCAGGUUGAAGGUUGGGUAACACUAACUGGAGGACCGAACCGACUAAUGUUGAAAAAUUAGCGGAUGACUUGUGGCUGGGGGUGAAAGGCCAAUCAAACCGGGAGAUAGCUGGUUCUCCCCGAAAGCUAUUUAGGUAGCGCCUCGUGAACUCAUCUCCGGGGGUAGAGCACUGUUUCGGCAAGGGGGUCAUCCCGACUUACCAACCCGAUGCAAACUGCGAAUACCGGAGAAUGUUAUCACGGGAGACACACGGCGGGUGCUAACGUCCGUCGUGAAGAGGGAAACAACCCAGACCGCCAGCUAAGGUCCCAAAGUCAUGGUUAAGUGGGAAACGAUGUGGGAAGGCCCAGACAGCCAGGAUGUUGGCUUAGAAGCAGCCAUCAUUUAAAGAAAGCGUAAUAGCUCACUGGUCGAGUCGGCCUGCGCGGAAGAUGUAACGGGGCUAAACCAUGCACCGAAGCUGCGGCAGCGACGCUUAUGCGUUGUUGGGUAGGGGAGCGUUCUGUAAGCCUGUGAAGGUGUACUGUGAGGUAUGCUGGAGGUAUCAGAAGUGCGAAUGCUGACAUAAGUAACGAUAAAGCGGGUGAAAAGCCCGCUCGCCGGAAGACCAAGGGUUCCUGUCCAACGUUAAUCGGGGCAGGGUGAGUCGACCCCUAAGGCGAGGCCGAAAGGCGUAGUCGAUGGGAAACAGGUUAAUAUUCCUGUACUUGGUGUUACUGCGAAGGGGGGACGGAGAAGGCUAUGUUGGCCGGGCGACGGUUGUCCCGGUUUAAGCGUGUAGGCUGGUUUUCCAGGCAAAUCCGGAAAAUCAAGGCUGAGGCGUGAUGACGAGGCACUACGGUGCUGAAGCAACAAAUGCCCUGCUUCCAGGAAAAGCCUCUAAGCAUCAGGUAACAUCAAAUCGUACCCCAAACCGACACAGGUGGUCAGGUAGAGAAUACCAAGGCGCUUGAGAGAACUCGGGUGAAGGAACUAGGCAAAAUGGUGCCGUAACUUCGGGAGAAGGCACGCUGAUAUGUAGGUGAAGCGACUUGCUCGUGGAGCUGAAAUCAGUCGAAGAUACCAGCUGGCUGCAACUGUUUAUUAAAAACACAGCACUGUGCAAACACGAAAGUGGACGUAUACGGUGUGACGCCUGCCCGGUGCCGGAAGGUUAAUUGAUGGGGUCAGCGCAAGCGAAGCUCUUGAUCGAAGCCCCGGUAAACGGCGGCCGUAACUAUAACGGUCCUAAGGUAGCGAAAUUCCUUGUCGGGUAAGUUCCGACCUGCACGAAUGGCGUAAUGAUGGCCAGGCUGUCUCCACCCGAGACUCAGUGAAAUUGAACUCGCUGUGAAGAUGCAGUGUACCCGCGGCAAGACGGAAAGACCCCGUGAACCUUUACUAUAGCUUGACACUGAACAUUGAGCCUUGAUGUGUAGGAUAGGUGGGAGGCUUUGAAGUGUGGACGCCAGUCUGCAUGGAGCCGACCUUGAAAUACCACCCUUUAAUGUUUGAUGUUCUAACGUUGACCCGUAAUCCGGGUUGCGGACAGUGUCUGGUGGGUAGUUUGACUGGGGCGGUCUCCUCCUAAAGAGUAACGGAGGAGCACGAAGGUUGGCUAAUCCUGGUCGGACAUCAGGAGGUUAGUGCAAUGGCAUAAGCCAGCUUGACUGCGAGCGUGACGGCGCGAGCAGGUGCGAAAGCAGGUCAUAGUGAUCCGGUGGUUCUGAAUGGAAGGGCCAUCGCUCAACGGAUAAAAGGUACUCCGGGGAUAACAGGCUGAUACCGCCCAAGAGUUCAUAUCGACGGCGGUGUUUGGCACCUCGAUGUCGGCUCAUCACAUCCUGGGGCUGAAGUAGGUCCCAAGGGUAUGGCUGUUCGCCAUUUAAAGUGGUACGCGAGCUGGGUUUAGAACGUCGUGAGACAGUUCGGUCCCUAUCUGCCGUGGGCGCUGGAGAACUGAGGGGGGCUGCUCCUAGUACGAGAGGACCGGAGUGGACGCAUCACUGGUGUUCGGGUUGUCAUGCCAAUGGCACUGCCCGGUAGCUAAAUGCGGAAGAGAUAAGUGCUGAAAGCAUCUAAGCACGAAACUUGCC